AAAGUCGUAACAAGGUUUGGAAAAGUUGGAAGGUCCUUCCGUAGUAACACUCGAGAAGCCUUUGCAGCCAGAAAUGGUGGAAACCGCGACGUAAAACAAUGGUACCCCUGAAAUGCAAGUCUAGUGCGUAAUGAUCGCACGAAGGCAACACUGUCAAAUUGCGGGGAAGCCCUAAAGCUCUAGAUACCAAGUACUCUGUGGAAACACGGGUAUGGCCAGGUUAAUCGCCUCGGGUACGGUCACAACUCUAGAGAUUCUCUGUUACACAACAGAUAAUGGGUAAUCUGCAGCCAAGUCCUACAGCGCUUUAUUAUUUAUAUGGGAUAAAGCGUCACGGAUGCUGUUCACAGGCCAAAUGGCAGUGGGUUCGAGAGUACAACUCUCGGGCUUAAGAUAUGGUCGGGCCCCUUUCGAAAGUUUGGGGGGUUACAUAUAGUACAAUAAUGUUCCGUAGGUGAACCUGCGGAAGGAUCAUAAUCGAAGAUAAGAGUGCGCUUCAUUGCGGCUCGACCCUUCAUCCACUCACCCUGUGCACUGUAAUACCUUUUUCAUUAGACUCUACUAGUCAUUGAAUGUAACACUUUAAUAAAGUAAACAAAA
rnacentral:ncRNA from 1 species